UACGUAGGGGGCUAGCGUUGUCCGGAUUUAUUGGGCGUAAAGAGCGUGUAGGCGGCCAUGUAGGUCUGGUGUGAAAACUCGAGGCUCAACCUCGAGACGUCGGCGGAAACCAUCUGGCUAGAGUCCGGAAGAGGAGAGUGGAAUUCCUGGUGUAGGCGGUGAAAUGCGCAGAUAUCAGGAAGAACACCCCGUGGCGAAAGCGGCUCUCUGGGACGGUACUGACGCUGAGACGCGAAAGCGUGGGGGAGCGAACAGG
rnacentral:rRNA from 1 species